rnacentral:rRNA from 1 species
UACGUAGGUGACAAGCGUUGUCCGGAUUUACUGGGCGUAAAGAGCGCGCAGGCGGUCGAUCAAGUCGAGUGUGAAAGCCCCCGGCUCAACUGGGGAGGGUCAUUCGAUACUGAUCGACUCGAAGGCAGGAGAGGGUAGUGGAAUUCCCGGUGUAGUGGUGAAAUGCGUAGAUAUCAGGAGGAACACCGGUGGCGAAGGCGGUUCUCUGGGCCUUACCUGACGCUGAGGAGCGAAAGCGUGGGGAGCGAACAGG